rnacentral:rRNA from 1 species
CUACGGGGGGCAGCAGUGGGGAAUAUUGCACAAUGGGCGCAAGCCUGACGCAGCCAUGCCGCGUGUAUGAAGAAGGCCUUCGGGUUGUAAAGUACUUUCAGCGGGGAGGAAGGGAGUAAAGUUAAUACCUUUGCUCAUUGACGUUACCCGCAGAAGAAGCACCGGCUAACUCCGUGCCAGCAGCCGCGGUAAUACGGAGCGUGCAAGCGUUAAUCGGAAUUACUGGGCGUAAAGCGCACGCAGGCGGUUUGUUAAGUCAGAUGUGAAAUCCCCGGGCUCAACCUGGGAACUGCAUCUGAUACUGGCAAGCUUGAGUCUCGUAGAGGGGGGUAGAAUUCCAGGUGUAGCGGUGAAAUGCGUAGAGAUCUGGAGGAAUACCGGUGGCGAAGGCGGCCCCCUGGACGAAGACUGACGCUCAGGUGCGAAAGCGUGGGGAGCAAACAGGAUUAGAUACCCGUGUAGUC